rnacentral:tRNA from 1 species
CAUCUCAGAAUUCUUGUAAAGUACAUCCCAUAUGGCAACAGGGCUCUUGAACUUGAUUUGAUUGCCUUCA